rnacentral:rRNA from 1 species
AUUGAACGCUGGCGGCAGGCCUAACACAUGCAAGUCGAGCGGAUGACGGGAGCUUGCUCCUCGAUUCAGCGGCGGACGGGUGAGUAAUACCUAGGAAUCUGCCUGAUAGUGGGGGACAACGUUUCGAAAGGAACGCUAAUACCGCAUACGUCCUACGGGAGAAAGCAGGGGACCUUCGGGCCUUGCGCUAUCAGAUGAGCCUAGGUCGGAUUAGCUAGUUGGUGAGGUAAUGGCUCACCAAGGCGACGAUCCGUAACUGGUCUGAGAGGAUGAUCAGUCACACUGGAACUGGGACACGGUCCAGACUCCUACGGGAGGCAGCAGUGGGGAAUAUUGGACAAUGGGCGAAAGCCUGAUUCAGCCAUGCCGCGUGUGUGAAGAAGGUCUUCGGAUUGUAAAGCACUUUAAGUUGGGAGGAAGGGCAGUAAGCUAAUACCUUGCUGUUUUGACGUUACCGACAGAAUAAGCACCGGCUAACUCUGUGCCAGCAGCCGCGGUAAAAC